rnacentral:pre_miRNA from 1 species
CCGAGACGGGCGGAUCACGAGGUCAGGAGAUCGAGACCAUCCUGGCUGAGCCAGGAUGGUCUCGAUCUCCUGACCUCGUGAUCCGCCCGUCUCGG